UACGGGGGGGGCAAGCGUUGUUCGGAAUUACUGGGCGUAAAGGGCGCGUAGGCGGCUUGGUAAGUCCGUUGUGAAAUCCCUCGGCUCAACCGAGGAACUGCGACGGAUACUGCUUGGCUUGAGUCCCGGAGAGGGUAGCGGAAUUCAUGGUGUAGCAGUGAAAUGCGUAGAUAUCAUGAGGAACACCAGAGGCGAAGGCGGCUACCUGGACAGUUACUGACGCUCAGGCACGAAAGCGUGGGGAGCAAAAGGG
rnacentral:rRNA from 1 species